CUGCAAAACUGCAAAUUGGAGUCCUCCCCUUUGCCACAGAGAGGGUGCAGCUGAGACAGCAUCUGCACCAACAGCCUGCCCACAGCCCUGCCAGCCUGCCUCAGCUCUGACCUUCAGGACUUGCCUUCAAGUGGCAGAGGAGAACUCCCCCCUCCCUUGCAGCCCUGGGCUUUU
rnacentral:sRNA from 1 species